rnacentral:rRNA from 2 species
AGGAGGCGUCGAGCGGCGGACGGGUGAGUAAUGCAUAGGAAUCUGCCCGGUAGUGGGGGAUAACCUGGGGAAACCCAGGCUAAUACCGCAUACGCCCUACGGGGGAAAGCAGGGGAUCUUCGGACCUUGCGCUAUCGGAUGAGCCUAUGUCGGAUUAGCUAGUUGGUGAGGUAACGGCUCACCAAGGCUGCGAUCCGUAGCUGGUCUGAGAGGAUGAUCAGCCACAUCGGGACUGAGACACGGCCCGAACUCCUACGGGAGGCAGCAGUGGGGAAUAUUGGACAAUGGGCGAAAGCCUGAUCCAGCCAUGCCGCGUGUGUGAAGAAGGCCUUCGGGUUGUAAAGCACUUUCAGUGAGGAAGAAAGCCUUGAGGUUAAUACCCUCGAGGGAGGACAUCACUCACAGAAGAAGCACCGGCUAACUCCGUGCCAGCAGCCGCGGUAAUACGGAGGGUGCGAGCGUUAAUCGGAAUUACUGGGCGUAAAGCGCGCGUAGGCGGCUUGAUAAGCCGGUUGUGAAAGCCCCGGGCUCAACCUGGGAACGGCAUCCGGAACUGUCAGGCUAGAGUGCAGGAGAGGAAGGUAGAAUUCCCGGUGUAGCGGUGAAAUGCGUAGAGAUCGGGAGGAAUACCAGUGGCGAAGGCGGCCUUCUGGACUGACACUGACGCUGAGGUGCGAAAGCGUGGGUAGCAAACAGGAUUAGAUACCCUGGUAGUCCACGCCGUAAACGAUGUCGACUAGCCGUUGGGCUCCUUGAGAGCUUUGUGGCGCAGUUAACGCGAUAAGUCGACCGCCUGGGGAGUACGGCCGCAAGGUUAAAACUCAAAUGAAUUGACGGGGGCCCGCACAAGCGGUGGAGCAUGUGGUUUAAUUCGAUGCAACGCGAAGAACCUUACCUACCCUUGACAUCGAGAGAACUUUCCAGAGAUGGAUUGGUGCCUUCGGGNAACUCUCAGACAGGUGCUGCAUGGNUGUCGUCAGCUCGUG